GAUGAACGCUGGCGGCGUGCCUAAUACAUGCAAGUCGAGCGCAGGAAAUCGACGGAACCCUUCGGGGGGAAGUCGACGGAAUGAGCGGCGGACGGGUGAGUAACACGUAAAGAACCUGCCCUCAGGUCUGGGAUAACCACGAGAAAUCGGGGCUAAUACCGGAUGGGUCAUCGGACCGCAUGGUCCGAGGAUGAAAGGCGCUCCGGCGUCGCCUGGGGAUGGCUUUGCGGUGCAUUAGCUAGUUGGUGGGGUACUGGCCCACCAAGGCGACGAUGCAUAGCCGACCUGAGAGGGUGAUCGGCCACACUGGGACUGAGACACGGCCCAGACUCCUACGGGAGGCAGCAGUAGGGAAUCUUCCACAAUGGACGAAAGUCUGAUGGAGCAACGCCGCGUGAACGAUGAAGGCCUUCGGGUCGUAAAGUUCUGUUGUAAGGGAAGAACAAGUGCCGCAGGCAAUGGCGGCACCUUGACGGUACCUUGCGAGAAAGCCACGGCUAACUACGUGCCAGCAGCCGCCGUAAGAC
rnacentral:rRNA from 1 species